rnacentral:tRNA from 1 species
GGUCGCUUAGCUCAGUUGGUUAGAGCGUGGUGCUAAUACGAGGCUUGAACCCGCAAGCCCGUGACGCCAAGGUCGCGAGUUCGACCCUCGUAGUGACCA